AUCCUCUCUAUUCCAACUCAAGUAUAAUAGAAUAUGUUUUUUACACUCAAUAUUUAAAGAACAUCAAAUAAGUUCGGAAUGAGUCAAAAAUAAACGUUAAUGUAGUUGGACAACUGUCAUAAGUUACCGGUUUCCAAUUAUUUAAAACCCCCCCAAAAAAACUCCAUGAUUUCUUUAAUCUGUAGUCAGUGUGGAAAAAGAAUACAUUUCAAUGAUAUAGAUCUAGCUGAAAUAAUAGAUGACAGUGGAAACAAAAUCAUUGAUAAUAGUUCAAACCAUGCGUCAAAGGAAUCCUUUGAAGAAUUAACAAAGCCAGGUUCUUUAGAUCAACCUUCACAUUUUUCCCAAGACAUUUGUUUUGGUGAAGAAGAUUGUGGAAAAAUCAAUUCUGUUGAACCAGAAGACAAUUUCGUUACCGAUGGUGUCAAAGAAAGCAAAACUCCAAGCUUGCAAAACUUAACUCGCAUUCUUUCUGCACUCCUAACGUUACAAACUUAUGUAGUACAACAUUCGUUCUCGACUCUCAAAACAACCCAGGAAUCUUCAACAGUUUUACCUUUAGAAAAAUUAAAGAACGAAUCAAACAACGUCACAAACAUUCUUCAGAAUCUUACUUCUAAUAAUGUACUUUGUUUUUUCUGUCUUUUUGAGUUAAAAGCGCGUUUACAACGAACAAUCCAAACCUGUCAAAGCGAAUGUUCCAUGUAUAGUGACUACCUCACUUCUGCACUUUCACCAGCAAAGGAGCCAUAUGAUCAUUUAGAAAAACAACUUUCCAUUUCAAAUGUUCCUUUUCAAAAUGAAAAAUUCUCAGAUAAAAAGAAUAAAUUCUUUCCAAUAAACUUUAACGACUCACAAGGCGAAACUAAUUCUGUAAAAUGCAUUACCUUAAGCAAUUUCCUUUUUUAUCGGAUUUUCAAUUGUUCUUUGCAGUUAAAAACGGCGCUAUACAAACAUAAAAAGAAAAAAAUGAUAUUGAGUUCAGCCCAUAUGAAAUAUGGACUCAAAUACCCACCGCCUUGUCGUUCAGCAUUCAUAUCGUCGGAGCAAAAUACUCUUGAUUACAAUCGGACACUCCUCUCUAUUCUAACUCGUUCUAAUGUCCUAGAAGAUGCGUUUCGUAUAGAAGUCCGCGGGAUGUAUGGGAUAAUUAAUGGUCUUCGUUUAGGUAAAGUGCCCGAGGAUUCGGUUACUUGGAACGAGGUUAACGCCGCGUGGGGCCAAAGUGCUUUUCUCUUAGAUACAGUUGUUCAACUUAUUCUAAAAGUCUAUAUGAACUAUGUUCGGCAUUCUUUAAAAGAAAAAAGUGUGAAACCUAAUUCGACUGGGAAUGGAUUAAGUGCCGUUUCUCGUGAAUUUGUUGUCGACUUUCCCACUUUAACCUAUUUGAAAACACAUAAAAUUGUACCACGAGGAAAUCGAUCCAUUGUAUUAAAACGAUCAGAUAUGUCUUGCUUCGAAUUAUAUCGCACAGAGGGAGGACUGACUCAAUAUUUUUCUACAAAAAGGUUUAAUGCAGCUAUGGUUAUAUUCUUAGAAAUAACAAGGGAAAUUAUCACGGUUGCCUGUUUUGUAAAAAAAAAAAUAGAAAACGACGAAGAAACUUCAACACAACCAUUGAAAACAAUAAACGACUUACCGCCCAAUAAUUCCAUCCAUUUACCUUGUUCGAGUGGAGGAGAAUCGUGGUGUCAAUGCUUAAAAGAAUUACUUCUCAGUUGCCAAUGGCUUUUGCAGCUCAGUAAAGCUUUACAUAAUUCUUUUAUGCUGCCUCGCGAAUAAUUAAUGUACAUGUACAGUAAGAAUUUUUUCAAUAAUGCAAUGUUAUUUGAAAAAAGUCAUGACAGUGUACAUUAAAGCAAGAAACUUUUGCAGUUCAGCACUCUACAAUGUUAAAGGUUUUCAAAAUAAAAAGUGUUUUUAAGAUAUUGUAAGAUGUAGAAGUAGUCUUUUUCAGCCAAAAUGAAAGGUUCUACUAUUUAUGGAUUACUAAAAGUGUUUGUUAAACCAAUAUUUCUUUUUAUCCCUGUACUCAAUUGCUUGCUAGUUGUGGAACACAUUUAUGUUAUCAUUUUUAAAAGAUUCUCAAAUAAACACAAGUGUUCAUACCGUCAAUUACUCAAGUACACUCACAAAGCCGAAAAAGAGACAUUUUGAUCACGUCACCAUUUUUAGCUAAUGUAUUUUUAACACUUCACGAAAUCCUCUUUCUAUGACAAUUAAGAUGUAAAAAUCAGUGAUAUUUUCAAACCAUAAUGACCCACAAUCCACGUUGUACUAAACCUGAGA